AAACCGUUUAGGGGUAAACCUGAGAAACCCGAAAGGUCGAAGGGAGAAAUUCAUUCGCGUUUCGCCGUUGGCGUGAGACGGUCGUGUGACGGAAAACGUUCGCGUUUUCCGCACCUUUCGUUUUUCGAUCCGAUAGCGAACGCGUGCACUUUUCUCCUGGUAGGACGUCGCGAUCCGUUGGGUGUCGGUCUACGGCUCGCGGUGGAGCCCGGAUGUACGGCUUGCCGUUACGUUCGGACCCGUGUGUCCCGGCUGACUCGCUCGACGGUAUACGAAAGGUUUAAGGCCGCUCUUUGAGCGUUCGGCUCGUCGCAAGCGCGUCAGAUGUGUCGGUGAUCGGACCUAGUGCCGGUUCUGACCUCUGGCGACUGUUGGCGUCGAAGUUCUCGAACAGACCUUGGACCGAUCUGCGACGCUAUAGCUUUGGGUACUUUCAGGACCCGUCUUGAAACACGGACCAAGGAGUCUAGCAUGUGCGCAAGUCAUUGGGAAUCACUAAACCUAAAGGCGCAAUGAAAGUAAAGGUCCGCCCUGCGCGGACUGAGGGAAGACGAGCGGUUUACCCUUAAAAGUGGCCGCUCCGCAUUCCCGGGGCGUCUCAUUCUCAUCGCGAGAAGAGGCGCACCAAGAGCGUACACGCUGGGACCCGAAAGAUGGUGAACUAUGCCUGGUCAGGACGAAGUCAGGGGAAACCCUGAUGGAGGUCCGUAGCGAUUCUGACGUGCAAAUCGAUCGUCGGAACUGG
rnacentral:rRNA from 1 species